UGAGGAGGAUAGAAAUGAAGAAGAGAUUGCAGUGUUUGAGAAGCAUCCUGCUCAUAGGGACAUGGCUCUUGAAGAGACGAUUGAUUAUGAGGCAUAUGAUCCAGACACACAUUAUGGCACUAGUUUUGUGGUCCCUGUCGCUGGUUUCCUCUGUAAGCUGUGUCAUAAAUUCUACCACUUUGAGUCUUCUGCACGGGAAACUCACUGCAGAUCUCUUAUGCACUUCCAGAACUUACAGGUGAA